rfam:TPA: Bos taurus chromosome 3, whole genome shotgun sequence.
UCCCUGGUGGCUCAGAGGUUAAAGCAUCUGCCUCGAAUGAGGGAGGCCCAGGUUCGAUCCCUGGGUUGGGAA